ACCCUAGUCAAGUGGGAUUACCUAUUGAGUUUAAGCAAAUUGAUUAACACAGAAAAAGAAACUUACCAAGAUUCCUUUAGUAACAAUGAGCGAACCGAGUAGAGCCUAGCUUGAGAAUCGAGCACCCACGGCAUCUAAAUUGUAGUUUGGAGAAGCAUCCUCAGAAGUAGACUAGGCUAAACUCCCUUGGAAAGGGCACUAAGAAGGGUGAGAGCCCCAUUGUGUCGAGACAUUGUCACACCAUGAGGCAUUGUCUAUGAGUCGGGUUGUUUAAAAAUGUAGCCCCAAUCGUGCUAUAAAUUUUGUGUGAGGCUAAAUACACUCAAGAGACCGAUAGCGAACAAGUACCGUAAGUGAAACAUGAAAAGGACUUUGAAAAGAUAGUCAAAGAAUGCUUGAAAUUGUUAGAAAGAAAGUAGAUGGGGCCAGUGAUGCACCCAGUUGAAUGUAGAAUAGCAAGAGCCAAUCUGUCAAUCGAUCAAUCUGUUGAUCAGCUCGGGGAGUGGACCAACUUAGGUCAUAGCAGCGGCCCAAGCCCAAGCUUUUGAUAUGCCUUUAGAGACAUUGUCACCAUGAUUAUGGAAUGCAACACACACCACCUUGGUGUAACUUGGUACCCACGUGCUCUUGACAUCAACCUAUAGGCUCUUAAUUUAGCCCGUCUUAAAACAUGAACUAAGGAGUCUAACAUAUGUGUGAGUCAAUGGGCUAGAAAACCCAUAAGGCAUAAGAAAGUUGAUUGAUGGGAUACCUCAUGGGUGCACUGCCUACCAACCUUGAUCUUCUAAGAAGAGUUUCAGUGUGAGCAUGCUUGUUAAGACCUAAAAGAUGGUGAACCAUACCUGAGUAAGGUGAAGCCAAGACAAACUCUGGUGGAGGCCCAUAGUGAUAUUGAUGUUGAAAUCUUCAUCUAACUUGGGUAUAAGGGCAAAAAACUAAUCAAAGCAUCUAGUAGCUAGUUCUCUUUGAAGUUUCCUUUAGGAUAGCUGCACCUUUAGUGAGUUCUAUAGGGUAAAGCUAAUGAUUAGAAGCAUUAGGGGUGCAAUGCCCUUGACCUAUUCUCAAACUUUAAAUUGGUAGGAUGACGCUCUACUUCAUUGAGCCAUGCCAUGGAAUCAAUGACUCUAAGGGGGCCAUUUUUUGGUAAACAAAACUAGCAAGGUGGAUUGAGCCGAAAGCCAUGUUACAGUGCCCAACUAUAUGCUAACUUAGAACCCACAAAGGGGUUGGUCAAUUAAGACAGCAUGAUGGUGGUCAUGGAAGUCAAAAUCUACUAAAGAGUAUGUAACAACUCACCUACCAAUCAACUAAACCCAAAAAUGGAUGAUGCUUAAGCGUGUGGCUAUACUUGGCUAUUGGGGAAAGGACCGAGCCCUGAUGAGUAAGAAGGCAAGGCUAUCAUUGUAAAACCCAGGGUAUAAGCCUAGGCAGAGCAACGGUUAGUGCAGAUCUUGGUGAUGGUAGCAAAUAUUCAAAUAAGAAUUUUAAAGGUUGAAUAGGGGAAAGGUUCCAUGUGAAAAACACUUGCACAUAGGUUAGUUGAUCCUAAAAGAUGGGGGAAAUUCAUCCAAUAGCGCAUCCAGUGUUAGCUUUAAAAGGGAAUUAGGUUAAAAUUCCUAAACUAGAAUGCGGUAGCUAACAACAACAUUAAGGAGUUUAAAAACAUUGGUGAUGGCCUUAGGAAGAGUUAUCUUUUCUGUUUAAUGGCCUGCCCACCCUAGAAAUGGCUUAGCCAGAGGUAGGGUCUAGCAGCUAGAAGAGCACCGCACAUCAUGCAAUGUCUAGUGCAAUCUUGAUGGCUCUUAAAAAUCUAAAAGAUCGAGUACCAUCUGUGCUUGGUUGUACUCAUAAUCGCAUCAAGUUUCCUAGGUGAAUAGCCUCUAGUCGAUGGAAUAAUGUAGGUAGGGGAAGUCAACAAAAUGGAUUUAUAAGCUCAAGAAAAAGAUUGGCUUUGAAGGCUAGGCAUGGGGGUCUCAGUCUUGAACCCAUUGACUGUUAGUGCACUACUCUAGCUAUUCCCACAGUGUGAGUAGGUCAUAGCUUGCUAGCUGAGGGAUGGACUAGGAAUGUCUUCCUUUGUGGGCCUUACUCGAGUGAUGAACAGUUAACUCAGAACUGACAUAGGCAAAGGGAAUCCAACUAUUUAAUUAAAACAUAUCAUUGUGAUGGUCCUUGUAAAUGCUCACACAAUAUGAUUUUUGCCCAGUGCUCUGAUUGUCAAAGUGAAGAAAUUCAACCAAGGAUAGGUAAAUGGUAAGAGUAACUAUGACUCUCUUAAGGUAGCCAUAUGCCUUGUCAUUUAAUUAGUAAUAGGCAUGAAUGGAUUAACAAGAUUCCCACUGUCUCUGUCUACUAUCUAUUAAAACCAUAGCCAAGGGAAUGGGCCUGGUAGAUUCUGUAGGGAAAGAAGACCCUGUUGAGCUUAACUUUAGUCUGACUUUGUGAAAUGACUUAAUAAGUGUAGGAUAAGUGACAGCCCUCAAGUGAAAUUGAAAUACCAUAACUUUUAAUGUUAUUUUACUUAUUCCAUGUAUCGAAGGUAGGGUAUGACUUUUGGACCUAAGGCCAACCUCAAUUGGUUGAUCCUGCUAAAAAACAUUAUUAGGUGAGGAGUUUAGUUGGGGUAGUACAUCUGUUAAAAGAUAAUGCAAAUGUCCUAAGUGUGUUCAAUGAGAAUAGAAAUCUCAUGUGAAAUAAAAGGGUAAAAGCUCAUUUGAUUAUGAUUUACAGUAUGAAUAUGAAUCAUGAAAGCAUGGCCUAUCGAUCCAUUAGACCUUCAAAAUUUCAAGCUACAGGUGUUAAAAAAGUUACUUCAAGGAUAACUGGCUUGUGGCAACCAAUCGUUUAUAGUGACAUUGCUUUUUCAUGCUUCGAUGUUAGCUUUUCCUAUCAUUAUAAAGCAAAAUUCACCAUGUGUUUGAUUUUUCACUCACCAAUAGGGAAUGUGAGCUUGGUUUAGACCAUCGUGAGAUAGGUUAGUUUUACCCUACUGAUGGCAGUGUCGCAAUAGUAAUUUAACCUAGUGUGAGAGGAACCAUUGAUUCUCACAAUUGGUAAUUGCACUUGGUUGAAAAGUUGGUGGCGUGAAGCUACCAUGUGCUAGAUUAUGACUAAACACCUCUAAGUCAGAAUCUAGGCUAGAAGUGAUGCAUGCACCUGUCGCCUAAUUGCUAACCUGUAAUAGGGGCCAAUGCCUCCUAAGGGCAUAUGUCAUAGGUGUAGCCUCUACAAUAGACAAGCUACACAAGCCUCUUUAGAGCUCAAUUUCCAUAAGA
rnacentral:rRNA from 1 species